AUUUAGGGUACUGGUCGACAUUCGGGCACCUUACCCUUACCCUUGAAAAGACGAAUUAUGCUGGCGACGCUGGCGUACCUCCUUAUCACAUGCAAAAUGUAAACACGUUCAAUUUGUUGCAUGUGUUCUGUCAACUGCCAGAAAGACGAUGAUUCACUUCACUCACACUUUGUAUAUCUGUUUCAUUUGAUUGGCUUUUCUGAGACAAAAAUACAGAGGGAAAAAAAUCGUCAUUCAUCGUGACAAAAAAGAGUCGAUAGCAGAAAAAAAUUAAGGGGAACGGACUGAAAAUUAAUUAUUCAUCAGUAUUUAUAAUGAAGCUGGAAGUGGGUACUUGAGCGAGCCUAAUAUACGAUAUCUAUAUUAGAAACUGAACUAUUAAUUAAAUUCUAUUGAUGAGUGAAGAUAAAAGAUGUAGUUUAGGUAUAGUACGUAUUUCAAUUUAGCUCAACUCAAAGCAAUUCAGUCUGAAAUAAUAUUAUACUUAUUAUUACAUUUUAACAGUGAAUCAUCCCAGUGAAACAUAUGGUAAUCGUCACACUCGAUGUUAUUUUAGUUGAAGCCUAGGUAUACCUACCUAGUUCCAAAAAAUGGCGAAAAUAUAUUUUGUCGUUUCUGCGUUGAGUGAACUGUAACUGUUUCACUACCAUGUAUUCGUAAGUAGUUCCUCCAGUAGUGCGACUAACAAAACUAUACAAGCUAUAACCAACAUGAAAAACGAAUCGAGUAACAUGGCUAAGGAGGAUGAGAAAAAUCCGGGAGGGAUUCUGAGUGCAAUACUGGAUAAGAAUUUUGAUAACUUCACAAUACGAAUGACGUGCCAAUUUUGGGACGAUCAAUUCGUACUUGAUGUCCUCUCUUUCGGAUCGGGAUUUGUAACCGAGAAUGAAUGUAUAAAAGUACGGCAGGAAAAAAAAGGAAAGAAACAAGUGAUCAUGGACAUCACAACACCUCGUACGACGAAUAUGAAAGAAAUAAAUCAACUUGCAUCCAAAUAUACUGAUGGAGUAAAAAGUUUUGGUCCGCGUGACUGGAAAAAAUUUUUGAACAUUCCAAACAUUUUCGAUUCAUGGUGUCGAAGCUUCAAUACCUCAAUUAACCUUGGAUUAAAAUGUGACCCCGUGUUGCUUUAUAAAUUCCUCCCUGCUGAGGCGAUAAAUGAAGUCAGGCAUAUAAUUCAGCAGUAUUAUUUUUUCUGUCGGGAUUAUGGAAACAACGCAACCACGAUAACUCGAGAACACACAAUUGAAACAAGGCGAAAAAUUUAUAAAGUUAUGCUUCAAAGCGAGUUUUUAAUAAAAAUCUUUUUGCAAUUGAGACGCAACUUUUUCCAGUCCAGAAUUCAGCCAAUGAGAAGAUAUUAAGUUAAAAUUUUUCUAUUUAUCUCGUAACAUAAAGAUUAUGCUGACGUACCUACUUGAAAAAUGAGAAGUACUUACCGACGUA